rnacentral:lncRNA from 1 species
AUGAUUACCCUGAGGGGUUUCUCUACUUAUCUCCUCCCUGGAUGGCUGUAUAAGCCAGAUGAUGGUUACCUGAACACUCUAGAAAAAGAAUUCACAGAGGGUUUCACAGGGCACAGCCUCGCAGUCUGGAGGGAGAAGAGGGCAAACCGGUCUUCACGGACGCCACCUACUGCCUGGCUGGGCAGAGAGCCAGUGGAUCAGAGAGGCCGGCUCUGUUCUUGGCAGGAAAUGAGGAGCUGGCAUGGAAAUGCCACCCAGGCUGGGAACAAGAUCUAUGGAGUGGCAGCCUGAGUGGGUGAGGUGAUCCAGAGUCCUAACUGUCUCCUCUCUCAUCCCUUCAACCAAACUUUCCUGAGCAACUCUGAUGCCAGGCAUUUCUAGCACUGUGACAGAACCUGAGGACAGAGGGCCCUGCUUCAAAGGUAACCACCUGCCUCCUUCUGCUAUCACAGGGCUGACCUCAGUGCAGCAGAGGGCAGAGCUUGGAGGCAGCUGCUGAGAAUUUGCGCUCUAGACAUCCACCUAAAUCACAAGCUUUAUAUCUGGGCAGUCAGCCAGACCUCCUGACCAUAUCCUGGACUGCGGACUUUGGAUGGUGGAACGGGGGUGGAAUUGAACAUUAAAUGAGCAACAUGCUAAUUCCAUGCAAAUGAAUAUCUAUUUUGAAUCAACAGCUUGGACACUUUUUCUAGGAGGGCUGAGGCAGCAGGAAUCUAAAGAGAGGAUGAGAGGGGGAUGGGUUUCUCUCAGAGGCAGCAGAGAGUGCAAGGGGGGCUCCAGGCUGAGUGGAGCCACCUCCUGCCCACAGUUCCUAAUGCUAUUUGAUUGGCUCAUUAGCAAGUAUGAAACACGGGGAGUCAAAAAAAAAGAAUAAAGAAAAAAACCCCAACUCUGGAAAGAAUAAACUAACAGAUGGAGACUUAAUUCAAUUUGCAUCCAACCUACCCUAGCACCAAGGACUUUGUUUGCUU